AUGCACCCUGGAGCCCACCACAGGUCUCCCGCACAGCCGCCGUUGUAGUAAAUGUGCGUUGGUCCCAAACAACACCUCUUCACACAGCUUGUAGCUUCUACGAGUGUAUCCCACCGAGGGUUCCGGCGCUGCUGCUGGGCUGGCUGUGGCCGACCAUGCUUCGUGUGAGGUGGUAGGCUUGGCUGUCGCUGGGCUUUGCCUAACUCAUGGUCAUUGUGGUGCAACCUCCGUGGCGGUGCUGUGUCAGCCUUGGCUGCACCCCUAUCCGAACAACCAGAUGAUGGUAUGUUGCUGGGGACAUGAUCAGAAGAUGAGGCGAGGAAAAAGGGGCACUAGGGGCUGUGCCAGUGUUGUGGUGGACAUGACACCACACCACCAACUCCUAGUCAUUCUCGGAAGCAAUAGUGUCGUGGUGGUUGAGAUCCAUGAACCCAGCAAUGGAAGAGUAUAGUAGAGGAUUGAGGAAGGAUUGAGCAAUUAUAGUGCACGGACAGAGAUACCAUCAGUACAAGAUUAUCAAGUUGGUGUAGGAUUUCCAACUUAUGAAUGAAGAGAAAUAAGGAACUAGCAGCAAGGUUGUGAUUGGCUCAACUCCGCAGUGCAGUUGGCUUGAAGCAUAAUCCAAUGCAUGACUUUUAAGAACAAGGACUCGACCAUACAAAACUGAUCCUGGUGAAGCUAAGAAGCAAGAUACAUUGCGGCCCAAAAUCCAUGCUAUGGUUGCUGCCAUGUUUGUUGACAGAUGCCGUCAGCUCUGCCGCAUACUGCGGCAUCGGUGGGAAGAGGAUGUCCAGAAUGUGGAAGUGCAGCUGCCAGCCACUCCCAGGUACCAUUGAAUCAUUCCUUUCCAAGACAGAAGGUGCCGCAAGAUGGAUCAAGGAGAGUUUGUUACAUGGUCACACAUCCAUGGAGGGUGAAUUAUAGAUUGGUGCUACAAGAAAUUAGUGCACAUCCCAGUCUACAGGCAAGAUGGCACGAAGGCCGAGCGCCCCAGCUCUGGUCCAUAACGCCGCCUCUGCUUGUUGUAAAAUCCUUCUACAGACUGCCAGUCUGAGGAUUGCUGAGAAGUUACAUCCAAGCUUUUGUGUUCUCCAAAAAUGCUCUUUGGGACAAAGAGGGUUGCAGCUGGAACCUAUAGCUCAUGCAGCCUGAUGCAUCUUGGAAGGAUGCUGGACGACCAAGGGGGGACACAUCAUAUAU